AUGAGGCCUCAGUGGCAGUGUAAGUUCAGAUCUUCAGGUAGAUCCCGGUUCUAACUCGUUUAUUUAUUCAUUCAACAAACACUCACCACUUACUGUGUGCCAAGUACUGCCCCAAGUAUUGGUAUAAGAAGAUGAGUAUGACACAGUGCCAGCCGCCAAGGAGCUCACCAUCUACCUGGGGAGACAAAUAGGGUACCAUGCACAAGCUCCUUCCCUGAAGAUUGGAUACCAUUUCUCUUUGAGUGAAAAGAGAUACAACUGCCUAACUAUAAACAGGAUUCUCUCUUCUUCCAAGAGAUGUCUACCAACGGCCUCUCCCUCCCCUAUACUGCGUACAUCAGAGACCUUCAGCCCUUGAUUGUGGAUCGCCUGAUGUCUUCUCUGCUGCCUCCUUCUGUACUUGUGGCACCUACUGGCAGUUUUGGUUUGUGGAGGACACACGUGGGACCUCUCUCUCACACUCUCCUGGGGGUGGAAAUGGCAGAUCCCCUCCUGGGCAGGGUGGCCCCAUUGAGGUUGAUUCUGGGAAUGAGAAAAACCUGUGAUGUGACAGCGCUGGGAGUCACUGAGAAAGAAUGGCCAUUCCUCUUGCACAGAGAAGCCAGAAUCAUCAAAGCUUGGAUUUACUUAAUGAUGUAUUGGUUUUAUGGGUAAACGCUUACAGCUAUUAAAAACACUUUUAUCAUUAAAAUUCCUACAAGAAGCAUAACUUUGUUGUUGUGAUACUUAAACUCUCUGGCUUCUAACUUCUCCUUCCUUGGAAACAAUUAUGUGCAUAAUGUGAUUUCUACUAAGCUGUGGUUUCUUUGGAAUGCAAAUAUCAUGUUCAAGCACCGCAGACUGUCCUUCCUAAGGCUCUUGGCCUCCUUGCCUUUGCACACAAGGUGGCUGUUGCCCAGAAUAUCCAGAAUACUUGGUCUCACUCCUCUAGGAGGCAAGGCUCUGAGGAAGGAUGGUUAACAGCAGGUGAGCUGUCCCCUGACUCACCAGGCUUCUGCUUGGGUGAUGGAAUCAGUUACAUGUGCGGUCAUCCAGGAGCAGCUCAUGUAUGAGCUGUGGCUUUCACCAGGAUGGAAGUGUAGAUGGGUUAAGAGGUAAGUAGAUUGAAGCUACACUUUGGAGGUAAAAUAGACAGGAGCUGGUGACUGACUGAUCGUGGGGGAUAAGAAAGGAAUCUGCAGGGCUGGCCCCAUGGUCAAGCGGUUAAAUUUGCGAGCUCUGCCUCGGCCGUCCAGGGUUUCGGCAGUUCAGAUCCUGGGCGAAGACAUGGUACCACUCAUUAGGCCACGCUGAGGCAGUGUCCCACAUGCCACAACUAGAAGGACCCACAACUAAAAUAUACAACUAUGUACUGGGGAGAUUUGGGGCGAAAAUAAAGCAUGAAAAAAAAAGAGAUUGGCA
rnacentral:lncRNA from 1 species